GGCGGGCCCAGCGGGCGGGGCCCACAGACGCGGCCCCGGCGGCCAUAUUGCGGUCGCGCCUUUCCCUUUCGGCAGCUUCUUCCUUCCCGCCGCCCCCGGAGGAUUCUCUACCCUAUGGUGCAGACGAAAAAGCAAGUAGCAACUGGACAGGAGAGAAAUGGCUUUGAAACAGAUUUCCAGCAACAAGUGCUUUGGAGGAUUACAAAAAGUGUUUGAACAUGACAGUGUUGAGCUGAACUGCAAAAUGAAAUUUGCUGUGUACCUACCACCAAAGGCAGAAACUGGAAAAUGCCCCGCACUCUACUGGCUGUCUGGCUUAACUUGCACAGAACAGAAUUUUAUAUCAAAAUCCGGUUACCAUCAGGCUGCCUCAGAACAUGGUCUUGUCGUCGUUGCUCCAGAUACCAGUCCUCGUGGUUGCAAUAUUGAAGGAGAAGAUGAGAGCUGGGACUUUGGCACUGGUGCUGGAUUUUAUGUGGAUGCCACUGAAGAUCCUUGGAAAACUAACUACAGAAUGUACUCUUAUGUAACGGAGGAGCUUCCCCAACUCAUCAACGCCAAUUUCCCAGUGGACCCCCAAAGGAUGUCUGUUUUUGGCCAUUCCAUGGGAGGCCACGGAGCUCUGAUUUGUGCUUUGAAGAACCCAGGAAAAUACAAAUCCGUGUCGGCAUUUGCUCCAAUUUGCAACCCGGUGCUCUGUCCUUGGGGCAAAAAAGCCUUUAGUGGAUAUUUGGGAUCAGAUCAAAGUAAAUGGAAGGCUUAUGAUGCUACCCAUCUUGUGAAGUCAUAUCCAGGGUCUCAGCUGGAUAUACUAAUUGAUCAAGGAAAAGAUGACCAGUUCCUUUCAGAUGGGCAGUUACUUCCUGAUAACUUCAUAGCUGCUUGUACAGAAAAGAAAAUUCCUGUUGUUUUUAGAUCGCAAGAGUAGCUCCAAUUGAAAACACCAGGUAGCAGAAUUCUGAGAGCUGGGAUAGGAAGAUCAAGUUUGAGUCUGAAAAGGAAGGACCCAGUAUGUCUUACUUUUAGGUUUUGAAGGUACAUAGUGAGGAAGACAUUUCAGUGACCCAAGAGAACUUCCAGAAACUAUAUCCCCUUCUUGGAAAUUAUAGGAAGCAAGGCUCUCCCACCUUCUCAAGUCACAGGCAUUUUUUGAAGAAUUAGAGGCUCUUUUGGAAGAAAAUCCCAGAAAUGCAGGGAUGCCUCACAGUGAUCUGGCACAGAGACUCUCAGGAUACGAUCACAGCUAUUACUUCAUUGCAACCUUUAUUACUGAUCACAUCAGACAUCAUGCAAAAUACCUGAAUGUGUGAAAAACUUCAGAUAGUAGAAUCUCUUCAAAAUCAAAAUUCUGUAAUAAACAGAAUUGCAGGGAAAAAUGCAUAAUUCUAUUUUAUGGUUGAAUUGCUUUCCAAAGAAGUAAUUGCUUUCCUACUUCUGAUUUUUAGAAUUAUUUUACCAGGGUUCAUACAGGAAAUCUUUAAUGCUUUACAACUUUGUUGAGACCAUUUGAAAAACCUUGUUAUAUGGACCUCAGGUCAAGGAAUUGGAACGUAAUUCCAUUCAAAUCACAGACUGGUAUUGCUGGGACAGAAGACUUACUGGUGGUUCAGCCCAAACUCCUCACCUUUCUAGACUUCAAGCCUCUGAAGACAGGGACUGUUUUUGUCAUGUUCAUUGUUAUAGCUCUUAGUGUCUAGCAAAGUGCUUGGCUUCUUGUAGGUGUUUAAUAACUUUAUUAGUUGUUGAAUAAAGAAGUAGGCUCAGAAAGGUGGUUAAAAGGUAAGAAUUCCCCAUCAUUACCCAGCUGUUGUGUGGAACUGCUGAGAUUAGAAGCCAAAUUUCCUAAACCAGUGUCUUGAUUUUUCUUAACAAUGGAGGGUGUAACAUUGGUUUUUGGGUAGGCUGGGCCUCCCAAGAAUUAAGGCAUGAGAUUCAAUCUGAAAAUAACUAGAUACGGAAACUUGUAAAUUUCAUGUUACCAUAAACUCAAAUAUUUUCCCUUGGUCACACACAUGAAUUUAGCUUGGUGAGCUCACCAAAAAAACCAACCAACAAACAAAAACAAUACCUUUGGUUAAAUAUUGAGAACUUAAUGGAGAAAUUUUUAGAACAUGAUAGGGGAGGCCUGGUUGUUUUAAAAGUAUUUUUUUCUGAUAAAGAGCACAAAGGUACAUUUUAAACAUUCAGUGAAAAUGCGUAUUUAAUAUAAAUAUAGUUGGUACUCAAAAUAGGAUCAUUAAUAUUAAAGAUUAGUACUAUAAAAAUGAAUGAUCAAGAUUCAGCUCUAUAGUAAGCUGCGGAGACAACCUUCCAUACAAAAUGGUUCAGUCUAAAUAGUCUUCUAUCCUCUAGUAAGGAAGAUCUUUUAAUUCAUGAGUUUUUUGCAUGUUAAUUCCUUUGUAAAGAAAAGCAAUUGUGUUGUCCUAAGAUCAUUUUAUGUUAAGGUUCAGCCGGAGAAGCAGAACUAGUCAGAGAUAUAUAUUAAGAUUUAUUACUGCGAACUGGCUUAUGCAAUUUGCAGGUGGGGGGAGUUGGCUAAGCAAGUCCAAAUCCCACAGGGCAGGGGUUGGAAAGGGAAAAUCACAGGCAGGCUGGAAAGCCAGGGCACAGGCCAAAGCUAAUGUCCACACGUGGACAGGAAGAGAGCAGUGCGUAAGCAGGAUGGAGGUCCAUGGGCAUGGGCCAAAGCUGUUGUCCACAGGUGAAAUUCCUCCGCUGAUUAAGUGAGACCCACCCAUAUUACCCAGGAUAAUCUCUCUUACUUAGUCAUUUGAUUAAGGACUUGAGUUACAUCUGCAAAAUCCCUUUAUAGUGACACAUAUGAGUGGUUCGUUAAAUAAUGGGGGACUGCAUCACAAUCAUUAUCUGAAAAUUGUUGCUUUGCCUUUCUGCAAAAAGUAUUAAAUAUUCAGUAAGUAGUUGCUGACAUAAGCCAGCGAUGAAUGUAAUAAAGACAAAGGCCUUCACUAACAGUACAGAAUUAAUCAUUGAAGAUAACUAGGAAGCUUAUGAUUUUGAGCUUUUUUUCUGUAUGUUGCAAAGAUUAUCUGGGGAGGGAUUGAUUCUUAUAUAUGCCUAAAUGUAAGAUGAAUUCCAUUCCCUCUGCAAAAAAAUUAUUCCUCAACGUCUCACAUAAGGAACCAUCUAAAUGACUAUAUUGAACAACAAAUAAUGGCUUCCAAGUCUAGUUUUGGAUGCUUCUAGGAGUUGCCUGAUGGGAUCAAUUAUGAAAAUAUCUUCUCUGAUUCAAAGGAAUGAAGGUAAAAAUCAGUAAGAGAGAACUGGAAAGCAUACACAUACAUGGAAAUCAAACAACACAUUCAACCAAUGGAUCAAAGAACAACUUAGGAAAUAUUCUGAUGCAAGUGAAAGCAAAACUACAACAUACCAAAACUUAUGGGAUGUAGCAAAGGCAGUGCUGAGAGGGAAGUUUAUAACUCUAAAUGCUUAUAUUAAAAAAAGAAAGUGCUCUUGCUCUUGUGAUUUUUUUUGUUCCAUAAUCUCCUUUGUGAUGUCUUUAUCUGAAUCAUCACUGCCAGAGGUUUUGUCUUCACAACCAGGUUACAAUUCUAUAGAUCAUCUCAAGUUUUCUCCCAUUAAUUUAUUAAAGGUAGGACUGUACUAAUAAAUACAUUUAAGGUGCUAAAUUUUAAA